UUAAGAUACUGUUCAAAGGGUUAGAAGUGCACCCCAUAUAAAAGAUUAUACCCCAAAGAGCAUGGAGUUGAAGUGCACAAGUGGAUCCCAUAAAAUAAAAGGCAAAUGAUGAGGGAACAGUGGCUGCAAGAGAGAGACCAGGCAAAACAACUGAGCCUUAAGAAAGACCUGAAGGUCAACAGCUUGGACAGCAAGGUCCAGCAUGAAAAGCAAAGAGGAGAAAGAGAAGGAUAAACAGAGUCUUUGCAUUGGCCUGUCAG